rnacentral:rRNA from 1 species
UGGGGAAUAUUGGACAAUGGGGGCAACCCUGAUCCAGCAAUGCCGCGUGUGUGAAGAAGGUCUUCGGAUUGUAAAGCACUUUCGACGGGGACGAUGAUGACGGUACCCGUAGAAGAAGCCCCGGCUAACUUCGUGCCAGCAGCCGCGGUAAUACGAAGGGGGCUAGCGUUGCUCGGAAUGACUGGGCGUAAAGGGCGUGUAGGCGGUUUACACAGUCAGAUGUGAAAUCCCCGGGCUUAACCUGGGAGCUGCAUUUGAUACGUGUAGACUAGAGUGUGAGAGAGGGUUGUGGAAUUCCCAGUGUAGAGGUGAAAUUCGUAGAUAUUGGGAAGAACACCGGUGGCGAAGGCGGCAACCUGGCUCAUGACUGACGCUGAGGCGCGAAAAGCGUGGGGAGCAAACAGGAUUAGAUACCCUGGUAGUCCACGCUGUAAAACGAUGUGUGCUAGAUGUUGGGUAACUUUGUUAUUCAGUGUCGCAGUUAACGCGUUAAAGCACACCGCCUGGGGAGUACGGCCGCAAGGUUGAA